rnacentral:rRNA from 1 species
UACGAACUGUGCGAACGUUAUUCGGAAUCACUGGGCUUACAGGGUGCGUAGGCGGCUUGUUAAGUAGGGUGUGAAAGCCCCCGGCUCAACCGGGGAAUGGCGCCCUAAACUGGCGAGCUAGAGUGAGAUAGGGGUGUGUGGAACUUCCGGUGGAGCGGUGAAAUGUGUUGAUAUCGGAAGGAACGCCGGUGGCGAAAGCGACACACUGGAUCUUGUCUGACGCUGAGGCACGAAAGCCAGGGGAGCAAACGGG